UACGUAGGGUGCGAGCGUUGUCCGGAUUUAUUGGGUUUAAAGGGUGCGUAGGUGGAUUUUUAAGUCAGUGGUGAAAGCUGAUUGCUCAACAAUCAAAUAGCCAUUGAUACUGGAAGUCUUGAGAGAAGUGGAGGCUGGUGGAAUGGAUGGUGUAGCGGUGAAAUGCAUAGAUAUCAUCCAGAACGUCAAUUGCGAAGGCAGCUGGCUGUACUUUUUCUGACACUGAGGCACGAAAGCGUGGGGAUCAAACAGG
rnacentral:rRNA from 1 species